rnacentral:lncRNA from 1 species
GACUGAGGCCUGAAUGGCGCCGGCUCAGCAGUCUCGGGUUCUACGGUGCUGCAGCUGCCACAUCUUUCAGGCACAUCAGGUGAAGAAGAGUCUCAAGUGGACAUGCAAGGCUUGUGGAGAGAAGCAGUCUUUCGUGCGGAGGAAGAUGUGCCUCAGUGUGCAGCAGAGAGCUUACCUCCACUGUUAAAGCAGAUGCAGGUUAUCAGUCUUCUUUAAUCUUGCCGUCGUCCCCUGUGCCCAACUCCUGUCUACCCUCACUUGAACACACAGCAGACAGGACCACACUCUACUAGGCCUUGACUGCUGUGGCCAGUCAGUGACCUCCAUGUUGCCAAACAGGCUUAUGGCGAAGGCUCUGGUGCUGACUGUAGACGCCAUGUCCAAAAGCUAAAUCUGCUUCAAGGACAAGCGUCAGAGCUGUCACUCAGGUCUGUGGAGGAAGCUGUAAAUGCCAGUGAAGAGGAAAAUGCAGGCCCUCAGCAGGCUAAGGAUGGAAGUCAGCAGGCAUUGUCUGAGCCCCUCGAGUCCCGUUGGCUGAAGUAUCUGGACCAGGACUGUGAGGGCCAGGAGCUGGACAGAGGAAGACCAGCUCUUAAGACACAGCUCUCAGCCAGUGCUAAGUGGCCAAAUCUGCCCUGCAGUCCAGCCCGACCCAGGAAGAGGAAAUGGGAUCAGAGCACAGGGCAGCCUGCACACAGCCCGCGUGUCCAGGGUGUGGACAGUGGUGAGGACAACUUUCA